CAGCAGCCGCGGUAAUACGGAGGGUGCAAGCGUUACUCGGAAUUACUGGGCGUAAAGCGUGCGUAGGUGGUGGUUUAAGUCCGUUGUGAAAGCCCUGGGCUCAACCUGGGAAUUGCAGUGGAUACUGGGUCACUAGAGUGUGGUAGAGGAUAGUGGAAUUUCCGGUGUAGCAGUGAAAUGCGUAGAGAUCGGAAGGAACAUCUGUGGCGAAGGCGACUAUCUGGGCCAACACUGACACUGAGGCAGGAAAGCGUGGGGAGCAAACAGGAUUAGAUACCCCUGUAGUCCCUGUCUCUUAUAC
rnacentral:rRNA from 1 species